UUGGUGGCAAUCACAGUCUUUAAUUAUUAAUUGUCAUAUUUCUGAUUUGUUAGCAAGUGCCAGCUUGUAGGCUGGUUGAAGUACAGAACUCAGAGGAAAAAAGAAAUUAAAUUUUAGCUUUCUGGAGAGCAGCCCCUCUCUGGCACCAUCAAACACUUCUUUGUUUCCCUUCAAUUUGGAACUCUUCAAACAUCAGGGGUUGUGAGGGUUUGGCCAUUCUUUUAUCUUGGGUCCAUGUGAGUGACAGAAAUGGUGGGGCCUGGGAAAGAUCUCCCUCCUUUACAUUUUCUCUUCUCCCUCCUCCUCCUUAUCUUUUGAUGGAAGGAAAGAAGAAGAGGGGAAGGACGGGAGGGAGGGAUGGAGUGGAGGGAAAAAUUCUAUUGACAUCCCAUGAUAAGGGUGCAGAGGGGCGCUACACGUCUCUCCUUUCUGCAAUCAGCUCUCCCACCCCGGUCCCUCUUCCUUCAAGGGACCCAUGAGGACCUCUAUUCUUCUCCGUACCUGAGGUUCUCUCAACAGAAAGAAGUUGCAAGUGGGACCUCCUCAUGCCACCCUCAUCCCCAAUAGGAACAAUUAGGCCAGGCUUCGAUGUCACUGAGGAGGGGACCAGCACGCCUCUGAGGACAGUAGGAAAAGCCUAGGCAGGUGUUAGAGCAGGGAGUGGGGUCCCCAGGAGCUGAGGGCCCCAGGAUCGACAUGAUUCUGAAGGUGAUUGUCAUGGGUGCAGGGAGCAGGCGGCGACACCGUCUAGGCUUCCUGGGGGCCGUCCUGGGCCUCGGCGGCCACGGUGCUGGACUGGAGCAGGAAGUCUUUGUAGGCCAUCUCGGCUUCCUCCUUGGAUGACUAAGGGGCAAGAGGAGAGGCAUCAGUGUUGGGGGCACUGGCUCAGUGGGUGGAGUCGGGGGAGGGGAGGUGCUUAAUGUCCUGAAUUCGUGAUCUUGGUCCAAGCAACACAAGCCUUUGGGGCCCACUGUUCU
rnacentral:lncRNA from 1 species